AUGUCAGAUGCAAAGCCCCGCACCUCAUUAAGAUCACAUUGGCAUACUCUCCUAAAAAAGAGAAGACCCUUGAAGACAGGAGUGAGGUACAAUAAGUCCAUUUGCGUCCACCUUCUCACGGAGCCGUACGCGGACGUUACCUCUCAUACAGCUCCCAGCCAGCAAGCAGUUAGCUUUCCUCUAGAAGUCAUGGAAGUGUGGAUAAAUCGACAAAAGGUUUUUAUUUCUUAA
rnacentral:rRNA from 1 species